rnacentral:snRNA from 1 species
ACUCAUAUCUUGCAGGGGAAAUAUACCACGGUCAUGAAAGUGGUUUUUCCAGAGCAAGGCCCAUCUACUGCACUUUGGGUGUGCUGAGCCCUAUGAUUUCCCCAAAUGUGGGGAACUCAACUGCGUAAUUUGUGUUAAUGGGGGAUUAAUUUCCCUG